UAGGGAAUAUUAGUAAUGGGCGAAAGCCUGAACUAGCAACGCCGCGUGUGCGAAGAAGGCCUUCGGGUUGUAAAGCACUUUUUGAGAGGAUGAGGAAGGACGGUACUCUCAGAAUAAGUCUCGGCUAACUACGUGCCAGCAGCCGCGGUAACACGUAGGAGGCAAACGUUAUCCGGAUUUACUGGGCGUAAAGCGCGUGUAGGUGGUUUGGUAAGUAGGGCGUGAAAGCUCCUGGCUCAACUGGGAGAGGACGUUCUAAACUGCCAGGAUUAAGGAUAGUAAGGGAAAGUAGAAUUCCGGGUGUAGCGGUGGAAUGCGCAGAUAUCCGGAGGAACACCAGUGGCGAAAGCGGCCUCCUGGACCACUCCUGACACUGAGACGCGAAAGC
rnacentral:rRNA from 1 species